rnacentral:rRNA from 1 species
UACGUAGGUGGCAAGCGUUGUCCGGAAUUAUUGGGCGUAAAGCGCGCGUAGGUGGUUCUUUAAGUCUGAUGUGAAAGCCCCGGGCUCAACUCGGGAGGGUCGUGGCAAACCGGCGGGCUUGAGGCCGGUAGAGGUGGGUGGAACUCCUGGUGGAGUGGUGAAAUGCGUAGAGAUCAGGAAGAACACCCGUGGCGAAGGCGGCCCACUGGGCCGGUGCUGACGCUGAGGCGCGAAGGCGUGGGGAGCGAACGGG